UUAAGUUCAGCGGGUAUUCCUACCUGAUCCGAGGUCAAUCAGAAAAAAUUGGAUAUUUCGGCGUGGAGCGAACCAAGUAUCCGUAGCGAGAAAAAUGUCACUGCGCUAGAGAUUUCGGCUGCACCGCCGCUGAUUUUCGGGGGCGCCCAGUCUGGGCGACCUCCCAACACCAAGCAGAGCUUGAGGGGUGUAAUGACGCU
rnacentral:misc_RNA from 1 species